GGAUAUGGAAUUUCAAGCGGAAGGAGAGCAGUGCACAUGGAGUUUUCUCUGCAUUUGGCUCCUCAUUUACUCUGAUUCUCCGCUAAAGAGAUACUAAAUAGCAUUGCAAUCCCAGCCCAGCUCGCAACUUUCUCUCCCACACUUUCACUCUCCCUUCCCACGUCGUCUCUGCCUCACACUGCGUGUUGUAGGGCUCCUCACUCCCACCCACAUAAACUCUAAAUUGUAGGCAAGAAGAUACCCUCAGUCUGCACAAUUACAAUUCACAAUAGCUACUAGUCAAGAAAUAAAAGAAGGAGAGAAUUCAGCUCAACUCUGGAACAGCGACAGAUCUUCAUUUAACUUUUUUGUCGUAUUGUUGCUUGUUAUUAGUAAAAUCACUCGUCGUCGAAGAAGGUAGUGAGGUUAGUUCGUUCGAGAACCGAAGGAUUCAAUGCACAGAUUCAGACAACUCUUGAACAGAAGGCUCCUCCAGCAGUCGCAGUGCUCACUCCCCUCUCAAUGCAGUGGGCUCUGCUUUCCCCUGCAACAAUGGUUACCUCUUCAGCGAGAUCUCUCAAUUUCUUGUCCCUCACUCUACAGUUCUAAUUUCAACAGUGGAAGUGGAGGAAAUCGCCCCGGUGGGGGAGGAGAUGGGAGUAAUAAUGAUGGGGAUGGAAGGUCACAAGGCCCUUCGGCUGCAUACAACACCAUUUCUGAUAUUCUGAACGUGACCACCAAAACGAGAGAAGAGGAUUCCUGGGUGGAUAAGCGAGCUUCGAAUGAUCUAAGCAAUAUUGAUGAGACGGAGGACAAUGAGAAGAAAUUGAGUGAAAGUAUUGACCCUCGGCCGGUUUUGAAUUAUGCGUCAGGUCCUGGGGGCACGACUAAGUCAGGCGUGAUUAUGGGGAUUGAAACUAGCUGUGAUGACACGGGUGUGGCUGUUGUAAACACAGAGAAACAGAUUCUUGGCGAAGCACUCAACUCUCAACUCCAGAUCCAUUUAAACCAUGGUGGAAUCAUUCCUCCAGUUGCGAAGCAUUUGCAUGAGCAGCAUAUUACGAGGAUAAUAAAGGAGGCCAUGACGGAGGCAAAAGUCACUGUUAAAGAUCUGGAUGCCAUUGCUACUACCGUAAAGCCUGGUUUAUCCCUUUCCCUUUUGGUGGGUUUGAAACAUGGAAAGCAACUCUGUGUUGAGGGAAACAAGCCUUUUAUACCCAUUCAUCAUAUGAAGGCUCAUGCGUUGACGUGCAGAAUGUUGCAAGAUAUCCAAUUUCCUUAUUUGGUUCUUCUCAUAUCUGGAGGGCACUGUCUCUUGGCUUUAGCAAAAUCAAUUGACGACUUUGAAAUUUUGGGGACUACGAUUGAUGACGCUCCGGGCGAAGCAUUUGACAAGACUGCAAGGAGAUUAAAACUUUACAAUCUUCCCGAGGGAUCAUCUCUUCCUGGAGGCGCUGCUAUAGAAUAUUAUGCAAGGCGUGGAAAUCCCGAGGGCUUCAAAUUUCCAACUCCAAUGUAUAAGUAUCGAGAUUGCAACUGGUCAUUUGCAGGUCUAAAGUUUAUCGCGCUUCGUCACAUUUUGAGGGAAGAACGAGCACAUGGAUGCGAUGGUCCAGAUGUGAUCCCGACCCAUGCAGACGUAUGCGCUAGUUUCCAGUAUGCUGUUGUUGCUCAUUUGUGCAAGAAAAUACAGCGAGGAAUGAUCUAUGCCGACAUGAAACAUCUUAUUCCUGACAACAAUCGCGUUCUGGUUGUCUCUGGAGGGGUUGCUUGUAAUGAAUCGGUGAAGAAAGGACUUGACCUUGUUUGCCAAGAGAUGAACUACAAACUAAUAUGUCCUGAAAAGAAAUUGUGUACAGACAACGGGGUUAUGAUUGCAUGGAAUGGAGUUGAAAAAUAUCAAGCUGGAAUUGACUUGAUUCCUCCUUCAGACCUCGACUCCAUAGAUAUUGAGCCCAAAAGUGCAAUGGGAAUUUCGCUUCACGAGGAAAUUCGUCAGAUGAACAUUAAAUGCAAAAGGAUUAAAAUGUUGCAUUUAUUUCAACCAGAAAUUCCCAAAGUUGCAAGCACUGGCACUGUCGGCUAAAUCCAGUACUUUUAAAAUAUUUCCUGGAACCUAUGACUGAACUACAAUUUGUGUCCCCUAUACAGUGUCGGACAGAUGUCUACGUCCACAUAGUCGCACAUCUGUCCGACACUGUACAUACAUAAUUACAUGUGUACUUCAUUACGUGCGUAGAAGAUAACAACAAUAAUUAGAAGCUAGCUCUAGUUCGAAUUCAGAUUUUACAUUAUUGUGAAUUACCAGAUAGCACAAUGAACUUUUGCAUUUAUAAACGUUCCAUCCAAUUUUUAUCCAGUUGUAUGGAACCCGUUUACAGUUUGACACUUUUGGUUAAAUUUCAGUAAGGACAACGACUCAUUUUAUGAUUAAUAAUGAUUAUGCUACAGAAUUACCACUCAAAGCAAAUUUUAUGUGGUCAAUAUACCACAGACUGUGAUCUCACAACAAUAUUUCAACCGAUAUUGGUUAUACCUGUUUUAAUCGUGUUUAUUCUGCGACAGUGUAUUUGAAUGAAUACGGCUUAGAAGCAAAAAGUAAUGUAGUCAACUACUACAUAUGACUCAGAAGAUGUUGCAACUGUUCUCUGUUUGUCUCACUAUCAAUUGUCAUAAAUAUGUGUAUUGUAUGGUAGCCAAAAAUAUUUGCCAUUUAGUGGAACCUAGAGUCAAGUCAUACGCCAAACUGGUGCAAUACUAAUGAUCCGAAUCGUUCUUUUAAUGAAUUCAGAUGACCGAUGAUUUACCAUGUCUGAAACAAUAAUUCAUGACAAUAAUAACCACAUAGAAUUUUUCCAUGUGUAUAUACUUCAGUCCUAUAGCAUGAAGUCUCCUGUGAAUUGUGAUGUAUGUAUAAUAUUAAUGAUAAUCUAUUUGCAAACUGAUUCUGCAACAUAGACAUCUGCACGUGCAAAAAGUUCACGUUGCAUUCCUCACCCGGAUAUAGCACUUCUAGUCACAAAGUAUAUUAUAUAUGUUAAUCAUAAACGUUGUAAUCUCCCGUUGUAGUGUGAUCACUUGAUCGUGACAAAACAUAAAUAAAUAUUGAGCUCUUUAA